rnacentral:rRNA from 1 species
UACGAAGGGGGCUAGCGUUGUUCGGAAUUACUGGGCGUAAAGCGCACGUAGGCGGAUGUUUAAGUUAGGGGUGAAAUCCCAGGGCCCAACCCUGGAACUGCCUCUAAUACUGGGCAUCUAGAGUCCGAGAGAGGUGAGUGGAAUUCCGAGUGUAGAGGUGAAAUUCGUAGAUAUUCGGAGGAACACCAGUGGCGAAGGCGGCUCACUGGCUCGGUACUGACGCUGAGGUGCGAAAGCGUGGGGAGCAAACAGG